rnacentral:rRNA from 1 species
GACGAACGCUGGCGGCGUGCUUAACACAUGCAAGUCGAACGGAAAGGCCCUGCUUUUGUGGGGUGCUCGAGUGGCGAACGGGUGAGUAACACGUGAGUAACCUGCCCUUUACUUUGGGAUAACUUCAGGAAACUGGGACUAAUACCGGAUAGGAGCUCCUGCUGCAUGGGGGGGGUUGGAAAGUUUCGGCGGUUGGGGAUGGACUCGCGGCUUAUCAGCUUGUUGGUGGGGUAGUGGCUUACCAAGGCUUUGACGGGUAGCCGGCCUGGGAGGGUGACCGGCCACAUUGGGACUGAGAUACGGCCCAGACUCCUACGGGAGGCAGCAGUGGGGAAUAUUGCACAAUGGGCGGAAGCCUGAUGAAGCAACGCCGCGUGCGGGAUGACGGCCUUCGGGUUGUAACCCGCUUUCGCCUGUGACGAAGCGUGAGUGACGGUAAUGGGUAAAGAAGCACCGGCUAACUACGUG